GAGUCUUUAGCUCAGCUGGUUUAGAGCGCUUGCUUGACAGGCAAGAGGUCGGCAGUUCGAACCUGCCAAGACUCACGA
rnacentral:tRNA from 3 species